AAUUGUUCAACUCGCAAGCGAACACAGCUACCGACAUCCACGUGUUUGUGUGAGCACUAACACAUCACACGGAUAUAUUCCUUUUUUUUUCUCAUUCACAGCCUCACCUCAUCUUUUGCCGGGGUACUUCUGUUGUUGUAUACACACACACACACACACGACACACUGUUUCUCACACAACUACUUCUAUCAAAGGCAAGCGACCGGAAAUGCCGAGGGGAGCUAUCCCAACAGGCCAGGACUGGGAGGAGCAGCGCUUCAACUUCCAGCAGCGCGGCGGCGGCGGCUCCGCUCAGCCUCGCAAAGUGACGGAGCGCGAUGCCAACCGUGCAGUGCAAAGCGGCCAAAACGUGCAGGUGCAGCGGAAGGAACAUCAGCGUUUCAACCAGCAGGCCGUCAGCGCGGGGGCGAACGCGAAGAAGCUCGACGAGGACAACGAGACGCUGAAGGUAAAGAAGGUGGAUCCGCACCUCCGCGUGCGUAUUAUGAAGGAGCGCCAGGCUCUGAACUGGUCGCAGCAGGAUCUGGCCCAGCGCAUUUCUGAGCGUGUGUCCGUAGUGGCCGAGUACGAGAGCGGUAAGGCGGUGCAGGAAGAGCGAGUUAUUGUGAAGAUGGAGAAGGCGCUCGGCGUGCACUUGCGCGGCGCCAAGGCUGGCGAACCGAUGGGCAAGACUCGUCCUACUCCGAAGCCUCAGGAGUAGGCGGACGAAAUGAAGCACGCGCUUCUCUCUUUCCGGCGGCAGCACCGCCCUGCCGGCUGUCGGUGACCGCGCACUGCAUCACCCUAGUUCUGACCUGCGAGCUGGCGUGAGGGAGCCGAAUAAGACGAAGGACGAAGACAGAUUGGCGAGAGCGACCAUAUGAAGCGUUCGUCUUGAUCGAGUCUCUUCCUCGUUGCGUGUGUGUGAACGCGUGCAUGUCGUGGUUUACACGAAAAAAAAACAAUAGGAGGCGAGAACAGCGAAAUGCGCCCACGAAGUCUUCAACGUGAACGGAGCAAACGAGACGAAAAGAAGUCCGCGGCCAUUCGGAGUCGAAUAAAAAGUGGACGCUGACGCGCUGCUGAGGCCUUUCGCUCCCUUCCACUUUUUUUUUCACGGCCGCUCUCUCUCUACGUAUCUGUGUUGUUCUCAUUUCGCUCUGAAGACGAGCGAAUACCGUGCUCAGCGCCCCGUGAGUGCGCGCGCAAUCAUUGUGGGAGGCGAGGAGACGCGUGUGCGAAGAGAGGAGAGGAGCGAGAGUGGGCGGAGACUUUUUGUGCGCUGGAGAGCGAAAGUGACGUUCUGCCUUC
rnacentral:misc_RNA from 1 species